rnacentral:rRNA from 1 species
UGGGGAAUAUUGGACAAUGGGCGAAAGCCUGAUCCAGCGACGCCGCGUGUGUGAAGAAGGCCUGCGGGUUGUAAAGCACUUUCGAUGGGAACGAAAUGUGCCGGGCUAAUACCCCGGCAAGCUGACGUUACUCAAUGAAGAAGCACCGGCUAACUCUGUGCCAGCAGCCGCGGUAAUACAGAGGGUGCGAGCGUUAAUCGGAAUUACUGGGCGUAAAGCGCACGUAGGUGGCGACGUAAGUCGGGUGUGAAAGCCCCGGGCUCAACCUGGGAAUUGCAUUCGAGACUGCAUUGCUGGAGUACGGAAGAGGAAGGCGGAAUUCCCGGUGUAGCGGUGAAAUGCGUAGAUAUCGGGAGGAACAUCAGUGGCGAAGGCGGCCUUCUGGUCCAGUACUGACACUCAAGUGCGAAAGCGUGGGGAGCAAACAGG